GCUCGCACGCCACCGCCGCCGGCGCCCCCAACUGGCCGCCCCUCGUCAGUUCGUGUGUUCCAUCCGCACCAAAAAUCACCGUCCCUAGCUUCCCAUGGAUCCCUGCGCGCCGCCGCCCACCAGAAGGAAGCUCUCGUGCUCCCCGACGCCGCUUUCCUUAAGCAUUUGUGCGCUCCAAAAGUCAACGCGACACAGUUGCUUCCUCCGGCAACACCUCCUACCGGCGCCAGCGGUUCUGAGGUUACCUUGUUAGUAGUUCAACUUUGCUAAAUUCUGUAGUUAACCAUUGCUAAAAAUCAUCUUAGAAAUUAUCUCGUUUAAAUAGUUCACCUUUUCUAAAAACAGUAGUUCUCUGGUUAGAAAAACAAUAGUUAUCUCUGCAAGAAAGUAUGACAAUCUUUUGGUAAAGUCUCAAUCUCUUCUCAGUUUUAGUGUACGCUCGCUGGCGAUGCGUCCAGCAUGCUUUCGGUGAUAGCGCCAUAGUGGCCACCACUAAUGGCAUUGGCAGCCAGCAUGCUUGCACAAAAAUAGCUAGCUAGGUGUUCAGGAUCGUCUAUUUUAUCCCUCGAAACAGGAUGCUCAGGACGUCUAUUUUGUUUUCUGAAACACUAGCUAGGUGUUCCCAGUUCAGUACAUGGACUAUCAUCAGCUCUAGUUGCUGCUUCCUGCCACCAACGAAUUGCGCAAGUUCAAAGAGUGUCGCAUGACAAAUUCAAAAGGUGUUGUAUGGCAAGUUCAGAAUUUUGGUUCCGUGAAAAGUGUGAUUUUGGACAAUAUUUUGUGCGAUUCAAUUGUUCAUCUUCAGAACUUGGAGAUGUUAAGUCUACUUUUUUCUAUGAUGAAGGUACACAUGAGCUCCAUCUGCAAUGGUUAUCCACCCUAGUGCUUCAAAGAUGCUUAUUUUGUUUCCCCCGUGACGCAUCGAGGAUGAUAGUGACGACACUUACAAAAUUGUUUUCUGUGUUGCUAUGUUAUCAGUCCAAAGUGUGGUGAAGAUGUAGUCCUGGGUGUGUAGAUGAUGUGGUGUGUGUCUGGUUGUGUGUGUGCAUGAUGAUUGGUGGCUGUUGUGUGUGUGUGCAGGGUACCCGGCGACAGCGGGUAGGCGACAAGUGUACUGGUGACCAGCUACCCGGAAAAUGCUGGAACAGGGCUUCCAAAGGAAGCUCCUUGCUUCUUGCUUCUCUUUAAAUCUCUUGAGCUUUACAUGGUGUUAAUGGAGAAAUAUAAGAACAAAAACAGGUAUGUGUAGCCAUCUAGCAACAUGGUGAUCAAACAAAAUCCCGACAGCCAACCUCCAUGGUGAUCAAUUCCAUGUGCUUAUGGACAUGAGGGAGAAGACGGAACUAGAAUGAUCCAGUUCAUCAUUGGCACCCCUGUAAACCAAACAAUGAAGAACACAACCAUUGUACUUUUGCUCUUGUUCUUUCUAUCUCCUGAAUUCCAUGCUUUCUGUGAUGAGCAUGCUUGGUACUAUAUAGAUACUGAUGUUGUAGUUCUAAUACAAUAUAUUACAAGAAUUCAUUGACAAAAAAGGUGUCAGUUCAUAUAUGCAUGCAACAGCUAUUCUGAUACUACUUUAGUAACCAGAAAAACACAAAAGUUCAACUAUACUUAUGCAAAAUAGUUCAGUAUUUUAUUCUAUGACAGUCAAGAAAAACAGAAAAAAGAGGUUCAUCGUGUGAUGAGCAAUAGUCCCAACAACUGUGCUAGAGAUGCAAAAAAUUGAUAGCAUAGCCGAUGCCAUUUUUCUCCAAUUUCUGAAGAAAACUAAAGUUGAUCAGAGUAACUAAAGAAUGAUCUGUUAGUUCUUGAGUAUGUGUAAUGCUGCCAUUUUACUGUGCAUUUGAUUCCAUCGUGAUGGAUGUAUUACAAAGAUAUGGCUGUAUUACUAUGUUGAAUAAAAAUACCAUUUUGCUGCAACAUUUUCUCAGCUCCUGUCAAGUUAUACAUGUAUGUGAGGAUCCUUCUAUGUAGUAAGUUCAUAGUCGAGAAGUCAGGGACUUCGUAAAUAACGUGAACACCAAAAAACCAUUAAAAAACCUAAACCAUAUGUUAGGGGAGUUCAAGAAGUUCAUGGCUAGCUAUCCGUGUUCUGUAUUCUUAUCAGUUCAUAAUCGAGAAGACAUGUAUUCUUAUCAGUUUGUUUAUCUAGCCCGUCGUGCUGUGUAUUCUGGUCAGUUCGUGUGUGUAUGUGUUGCCCUCGCAGUGUAUGAGAGGCCGCCCGUGAGGAAGUCGCCGAUCUGGUCGAGGCAUGCUGCUAUUCUCUAUAUCCGGCAGCACAAACAUUUAAAAGUUGAAGUUAAAAGAAGAUGGAGAUGUGUGUUUUGGAGAGGGAAGAACUUAUCUAGUGGAGUGCGUGUGUGUGCUGCUGCAUCCUCGUCCGGCAGCUCUAAUCCACACUCUUAGUACAACUUCUCUAUGAUCUCAUGUUCACAAAUCUUGUAGUACAUUUUUUAAUAAAAAUCUUCUAGUACUAUGUAAAGCAAGCGUGGCGAACACAUACUUUAGGUGUCGCGGUAGUACGCACUGUUGAUGGUGGCCUUCCUUUGUGGCGCUACAACUUUGCCACCUAGAGUAGUACUGCUACUACUUAUCAUGUUGCUAAAACCUAGCGAAAGUACAUGUAUUUGAUUAACGGUUCUGUAGGAAGAAAACUUUCACCAAUAUAUAAUCUCUAGGUUUAGUAAAGCAAUCUUUUUGUUUAGUAGCUGAUACUGCUCAAGUUUAUUUCUUGUUGUACAUAUGAUGUCCAAUUUCUUCUUUCAGUUCGGUUCAAUUUAUAAAUUUCAUUCAGUUCAAUUCUUAUUGUAGUUGGAGUUUAGUUUCUUUUUUGAGUUCAAUUCAGGCAUGUGUUUGAACUUGCAACCUCACUGCCUUAAGCUACGAUCUCAAAUAGAAGUAUACUAAAUGCAGGUACUAGGUGGUGGCAUUGCUUCACUUCUCUUGUUACGUUCUCUUCGCCCAAAUUCAGAGGAUCAAGAAAAUAAAAUAUCAUUCUUUUGACAUGCACUACUCAAAAGAAGGCAUUUCUGUUGAAAAAUUGUUUCGCUUGACAUGUACUUGCCAACAAUUAUGUAUAAUAAAUCAUGGCAUUGUAUGUAGAAAAAGAUAUAUCGUGUGUUCUGCUAUUGUAUUGAGUUGCUAUCUAUUGCUAAUUGUAUGAUGUUGUUAUU